AUCCUAGAAUGUUUAUCAAAAACCUUAAUUUCUUUUCGACUGAUGAAAGACAGACAAACAUCUUGGAUGACAUGGGGGUGAGUAAAUUAUCAGGAAAAGUAUAUUUAAAAGUGGACUAAUCCUUUAGGAUUAGCCCAUUUAAAUGUGGGGUAAGCGAUAUUUGGAGAAAAAAAAAAAAAAAAAAAAAACACUGUUUGGAAGUAAGUCUGACUAACACACCAGCAAACAAUAGCAUUGGGGGCGUAUGACGGAGCAGAGAGAACAAGCAAGAGGGAGAUUUGAAGAAAGAAUGAAGAAUGAGAGAUGAGACGAUACAAAAGAGAAAAGCUCAGAAGAGUAUCUGUGGAAUGAAGGGUUAUGACUGGGCAAUAUCUUCAGGACCCACGUUAAUAUUAGAAAAGCACUCGAUAGAGCUGAGCGGGAAGACCUGAAAACAGGAGGCUGCUUUGAUUCCGCUUCACAUGUGAGUAAGACUGGGUUUGAGUGUCAUUGAUUGUCUGGAGCUGCUGUGCUAUUGGCUACUAACAACAAACUCUUGUUUGCAUUUACUAUUGUGUACUGUACGUUCAUUUUUUUUUUGAGCUUCCUUGUCGUUUGUUCAUCUGCGCUUUAUUUUUCAUAAAGCAUUAUUUUGUAGUGCGUCAGCUGUGAUACACAUGCAGUGCGAGAGUGGAUGGCUGUGUAACAGAGGCCAGCUAGUAAGAGAUAUGCAGACAUUGGUUUGUUUUAGACAUUUAUAAUGCUGAAUGGGACUGACCUCCUCAAACAUGUUCUUCCUGAAGUCCAGCUCCUCCACGAGGCUCUGGCAGCGGUUCUCCAGAUCCACGCGCAGCAGAGUCUCAUCUGACAGCUGCUUCUUAGCAGAGCUCAACCCUUCCUCCAGCUGAAUGACAAACACACUAUAUCACAGACUGGCUCACAAACAUUACUUUGUCAUUGUCAGUGGAAACAUGUAUGCUGGAAAAGUCAUGAAACAACAGACCUUUUGAAGUGACCCCAAGAUUGUCAUAAUUAUUUGACUAUUUUGCAGAGUGUGUUUUGGUGCAGAUAUGGGUGAUAUUUGCCAUCUUGUACUAUGUCAGUCUCCUACGUUUUGACGUAGGGAACGCUAGGGCUGGGUAUUUACACAAUUUUCACAAUUCUAUUUGAUUUCUAUUCACAUGUUUGCGAUUCGAUUCGGAUUCGAUUCAGAUUAUUUGGGUUCUAAAAAAAAAAAAAAAAAAAAAAAAAAAAAAAAAACCUCAACUAUUGUUGUAAACUACACAUGGGAAUCAGUUGGUACUACAUUACUAUAAUACUGAAGGUUAGAAUUUAUAUACAAACACUUAAAUUACACAAUGUUUUUAUAAUAAAGUUUAGAGUUACAUAAUCAUUUCUACUCCAAUUAGUUUUUUUUUUUUAAAUAAACAUUUAAAUCGUGGCUGUCAUAACCGAUUUAUUCAAACAUGCAUUAAAUAUUAAACAUUAAAAAUAAUGAAUAUGUAACAGUGCAUAUAUUUAUCAGAAUACUGCUCUCUAGAGUUCUUUUUUUUUUUCUAGCCGACUAAUGACUUUAUGGUCACUGGAUAUGGUUUUUCUGAGGUAAAUGUGAGAUUAUGUGAUAUUGUUUACAAGCCAUUUUAUUGACGUCUUUCCGCGUUUGAAACACUGAGCGAAUUCAUGUGACAUGAUACGGAUUCGAUGUGACAUGAUACGGAUUUUGGCAAAUCCGUAUCAUGUCAUCCGUCAUCAUGUCAUCCGUAUCAUUUUACUGCAUCUUUUAACAUACCUUCAGAUGAUGUUUAUUUCGCGCUGUAACUGGUAUUAAAGCGGAGGAGAGGAUGUUCACAUGCGCUCCGUGCUGCCGCUUCGCUUUAACUGAGGCGCUACAGCGAUCUUGCCACAUUAAAAAGCACCAAAACGGUAUUUAUUUUUUGAAACUCAUAUGAUGGAUGUCAUUUGAAAUCAGACUUUGCUUCAUAUCAAAAGUAACAAAGCACAAAGAUUAUUGUGAUUUAUUGCUAAGAGGUGCGCUACAUGUUCUGUUCAUUCAUCAACUGAAAAUUUAAGAAUCGAUAUCGGUUCGUAAAAAUGAGAAUCAAAUAAAAUGGAGAAAAAUCAAAAUUUUUUUACCCAGCCCUAAUGAAAGUAGUGCAGCACUUCCAUGUUCAACAUCAGAAUGCAGACUCAUUAUUGGGCAGCUCCUGCAUCAUCACACACAUACGUUGUACUGCUCACGAGUACAGCGCCGGCCAAUUCUGAGCCGGCUUUCAGACGUAAAUGCAAAAGCGCUGCACUGCAUUCACUACAUCAGUGUAGGAGACUGACAGGGAAGAGAAAAAAAAAAAAAGUUGAAUUUUUUUUUUGUUAUUUUUGUUUUUGCACACCAAAAGUAUUCUUGGUCGCUUCGUAACAAGGUUGAACUACUUGUCACAUGGACUGUUUUAACGAUGUCUUUAAUACCUUUUUGGACCUCAAAAGGUGCAAUGACAUUGCUGCAUAUGUGCAGUUCAGAAACCAAAAAAAAAAAUAUCAAAAAUAUCUUAAAUUUGUGUUCCGAAGAUGAACAAAGGUCUUACGGAUUUGGGACGACAUGAGGGUCAGUAUUUAAUGACGGAAAUUUCAUUGUUGGGUGAAAAAACCCUUUAAAGGGACAAUAUUUGCCCCCUUAACCCCCUGGGGUCUGUGGUCGUGCAGGCAAUACCACCUCGCUUUUUUCUUAGUGUGAAAGACUCAAUACUCCAUCGAUUUUGGUCAUGCACAUAAGUGUUAUACAUCAUUCGAAACUGUUAAGUGUCUACUUGUGUGUACACUCACAAUUAUGACAAAACUUUGUGCUUUUGUAAAAUAAAGGGCGGGCUUUGUCAUAUUUUGUGUGCUCCAUUCAUUCAUUACAUUUUUAAAUAAUGUAAUUAAAUAAUUUACUUAAAUAAAUUACUUAUUUACUGAAUUAAAUAAAUUACUUUAAUUUAAUUCAGUAAAUAAACAAAUCACAACAAACUGGCCAAUCACUGAAAAAGCCAUAAAAUAUCUAAUUCAUAGUAUGAACUUAUUUGUUAAACAAAAUCCAUAAUCCACUAAGUACACACUAUUUCAUUAUAGAGAAAACAAAUAAAAAUAUAUAAAUCAUAAGCUAUGACAAAGAAAAUAAACUGAAAGUAUAAUUAAACAGCAAAAGUAAUUCUUGGAAAAAAAAAAAAAAAAAAAAAAAAGUAGUAAAGUGUAAUUUUAUAAAAUCUACAAAAAAACAAAAAACAACAAUACUCAUUGGUUCAGCAGGGUCAUAUGAAAGCAGGCGAAGAAGAAAAUGUGUUAACUGCAAAAAAUAAAUAAUAAAUUAAUAAAAAUCAGGAAUUAAGGUGAAGGAUUAGGCGUGAAACCAUCAGGAACCCUUUAGUCUCCAGAGCCACCAUUUUCCAGAACUGCAACCUACCUGGAGUCUCCAAAAGUAUAAAGGUAUCAAGAUCUCAGAGACUUGGCUAUGGUAAAGAAUCCUGAAAUAUGACCCACUUAAUCACAAGCUGAAGUGUUGUGAAAUACAUGUAGACUGUUUUUUAAUAGGCUUACUAGACAGAUAGGUUGAAUAGAUAGACUCUUGAAGGACCAGCACAUCAUCUUGUACCACUGUUUGAAAAAUUGAUCUUCCAGAAUCUGGCAGCAAGUUUUGGGAGUUGGUUUUAAGUCCAUUUCCUACCCUGAAAGGUCCAACUUGCUCAUUGUUGGUAGCAGCUCACAGCAUGACUCCCUGUUGUCUUACUUGAACUGGUGCUGGUCCCUUAGUUAAGAGUCACUCUCAACCUAUCUGUCUAUAAAGCCUUCAGACAGAUUGACUGUUUAUGGACAACCUUCAUGCAUUUCACAACACUUCAGCUUGUGAUUCUUAAGUGGGGUCAACAAGAUAUGAUUGAUACGACAGAACAAAAGCUUUUAAUAAUCCUUCAGUGCGCAAAACCAUGAUAUGAAAUGCUUCAAAACAGAGCGACACAAACCGCUUAUGCGCAUACCGGGUGCAGAAUAGGGCUGUCAAAAUGGCUGAUAAGCUAAAUUCGAAAUUCUUUCUGAAAUAUUUGCAAAUUUCGAAUUAUAUUCGAAUUCUAAAGGCAAAAAAAAAAAAAAAAAAAAAAAAAAAAGGCAAAAAAAGGCAAAAAAUGCUUUGUCUAUGCCCACAAGAGAGCGCAAGCGAGCGCAAUAAGCAAAAUACACCAAAUCAUGCAUUGCAUCUUUUAUUGAAAUGAAAUGACAUUCACUUUUUUUUUUUUUCCUCAAACAACUGUUUUUAAAUAAAAGAUGUCAUUAAUGUGCAUGCAAGGUAACAAAAAGUGCAUAAAAACUGUAAGUACAUCACAACACUAACCUGAGAAAACACGCUUCAACAGACAGCGUAAUGUUUGUACUACAUGAAUACAAAAUAGCGACCUGCCAUUCAGAAACAAUCCGCUCACUACACAUAUUGCUCGUCAAAACACCUGACGGUGUUUUUUUUUUUUUUCUUUUCUUGGACAAUGUUUCCAGCUGAUGAAACACGCGCUCAGCUCUGGGGGUGCGUUUCCCGAAAGCAUGGUUAGUCAACUAUGGCCGUAAGUCCCACUGAACUCUCUUGGUAACGGCGGAACUUGCGACCAUAGUUCGCUUUGGGAAACGCACCCCUGACCGAUGUGGCAGGUAUGGUCAAAUAUGUCUUUGCCAGCUGCGCAAUAUGUGGAAACAAACAUACCGCACGGUUUUUGCCACCAACUGAAAUGGUUUUCGUCAUCGGGUAGCGUAGCUUCUCCAUCUGCUCCAAAGGCCUGAUGCCUUCUUCAGCACUGCUUAGGGUCUGACUGCAUAUGCCAUCGAACUGGUUGGCCAUAGCAGACAGCGCAGUCUUUUUUUCUUGCGUCAACAUCAGCGCGCUCACUUUUUGACUCCUCCAUUAUAUUUAUCACAUUAAUGCACCCUGCACCGCGCUGUACUGGAUAACAUAAACAAGCCGCGUCAGUUACGUCAUCAUGGCUUGCGCUCCUCUUGACACUGCAAAAAUUCGAAUGCACGGGUUUUACAUUCGAAUGUGCCUUUUUUUUUUUUUUUUUUUUUUUUUUUUAAAUUCGACGAAUAUUCGAAAGUCGAUUUUUUUUUUUGACAGCCCUAGUGCAGAAUGUGCUUAAAGCUACAUUGAGUCACAGUGCACAGCACUGCACAAG